rnacentral:lncRNA from 1 species
GCGGCGCGCCACUAUUAUGGUGGCUCACUGGAAAUUGACGAAUGGGAGUUUGGCCCACUCCGCGAUGCACCUCUAUAUCAUUGUCUCACUGCAAAUUGACCAUCGCUAUUUAAACCCACUCCACGAUACGCCAGUGAUAGUAAUAAUGGUGUUUUAUGACUAGUACUUAAAUUAACCAUAACUCCUUCAUGGAGUGUUAGUUUUGGACAAAUCUUAUGUAGACUGAAAUCUCAUUCAAUUCCCC